CCAGCAAGCGACAGAAAGAAGCACAGAUCGAGAAAUAAUGGCAGAUCAAGUAUAACUCGCACUAAUUUCAAGUGGGGUUUUCACAUUAGGGAUUCAGUGGCUUUGUUUAUUGACUUUGACUCUGUGUGCUCUGCCCAGGCAAUCUCAGAACACACAAUUACUUCCUCAUGUGUCCUUUUUUACACAUCCAAAAAAAAAAGAGAAAAGAAGCAUGAAAAAGACAAACCAUGAAACAAGGACGCAUGUCAAAACAGAGAAUGUCCUUGAAAACCUCACCCAAAAUAAAACUUCUUCUUUCGAGCCUUCAAAACAUUCUGUGCCACUUUUGGGUUAAUCAACAGUGACACAACACUUUUCGGAGCUGGUGAAAUCUCCAUUGCGAGAAAGCCGAGAUAGAAGAAUAACAAACGUGGAAAAGUGACUACACAGGCGGCAAGGGUGACGAGGCACUGAAAAUGGCAGCUGUCAAGUGAGCUGACGAGGAAAUGAGCGAGCGAAGGCCCUCGCUCUCUGAGCACUUUGUCACAUGCUGUAGAUACUUCAAGGGCCAAAGAGGAGAUCUGGGACGGCAUUCUUAUCACAGUGACUGAAGAGCAUUUUCAUCCCUCUGAAUGGGAAGGCAUGCGUGAACACCUAGGUUGGUGUGGAAGAACACAAGUGACAUGACGACUGCAGUCCAGACCUCCACAGCAGACAUCAGUGCCUGAUCUCACUAAUGUUCAUGGGGCUGAAAGAGCACAUAUCCCCACAGCCACACUCCAAAAUCUUGUGCAAAGCCUUCCCAGAGGAGUGGUGGUUAUUACAACCGCAAAGGACGACUAAACCUUGAAUGGGACGUUCAAAAUGCACAUGAGUGUCAUGGUUAGGCCUUUUGUCCAUAUAGUGUAACUAGUUGGGUCAUGCUAACAUCAGCUUUUAGGACUUUAGCGUCUUCAGUACUCCACUUAACUCUACUCUGGAUGCUUCACCUUUGUCAGGGAUUUGGUUGAGGCAGCAGAUGCAAGUGCAGAUUUUAUUGAAAACGUGUAACACAAACAACCAAAACCGUGAAACAAGAACCAUAAACAUAAACACUAGAUAUAAAGCAACAAGCAGACUACAAUCCAGGCUGCAGCGCACAUGACAACACACACAAUACAACAACAAAAGCUUGAUAAUGAAGCAUACAGAAACCAGGAAUUACGUGGGGGUGUUGAGUGCUCAGUGAGAUGUUUGACAAGGUCAAUCUUCACUUCAGCAGCCCUGUCUCCUUUGAUUUCCCCUCAUUCCUGGUGCAGGAGUGAUCAGGAAUGUGCAGGCACUCUGCAGAAUCCCCUCAUUAGGCUGACGGGCCCAGUCGCAGCAACCAUUAACUCCAUUCCGGCAAAAUUCAUCGCACUGCCAGAUAAGACAGAUGAGAGGAGACACAAGGAGGGUGGGGGCCUGAUUUGGACUGGAACUGUGUCAAUGCACAUCCAGCCGUAUUCAGCACAUCAGUGAUGGACGUCUGUCUGUGAACUGUCCAGCAGCAGAGAUUUUCGCUGCAUCAGCAUGGUUUAGCAGAAUGAAAUUUGCGCUCCAUUGCCACUAAUUUUGCCACUAAUCCUUAUUUCACUGUUUGUAGAUCACCAUUCAUCACUCAUCUACUUUGACCGUCUGCUGCUCUGGAUGAUCUCAAAUGGAUGCAGUAAAGAUUUGCACAUAAACAGUUUAUACCUGUCACACCCUUUUUUCCAUGGAUAAUCUCACCUGGAUACUGUAGAUUUGUAACUGAAAACUGGUGCUGCAAUCAUAAUAGCUGUCUUGUGUUCAUCCCAGCACUGUUAUUCACAAUAUACACACUGAGUACUGAAGAUGAUGGGUUCCCUUUUGAGUCUGCUUCCUCUCAACAUUUCUUCCAAAUUGUUUCAUUGAGAUUUUUCUUCCCAUUAUCACAUUUGACUUGCUAAUUACAUUCAUCCAUCCAUCCAAUAUUCCAUACUGCUAUUUUCCAUACCACUUAUCAUGCAGGAGCCUGCAGCCUAUCCCAGAAAACUCAGGGUGCAAGCUGGGGGACACCCUGGACAGGGUGCCAACCCAAUGCAGGGCACCAUAGCACACACAUUCAGACACAACAGACAAUUUGGGGAGUGGAGGAGUACCCGGACUAAACACCCAAAACACCCAAUGUAACUCUGUGGUUCCACAUGGAUACCCUAAACUGAUAUAAAAAGAAAGGUCUUGGUUAAGGACUUCAGUAAACUUACUGUUUGCUGUCUUCAAGGCAUGGCACUUUCUGCAUGAAAUUAAUCCUACACCUUCAUCUUUUGUCAUGGAACUUUACUCUUAAUGAGUUUCAACACCUCAAUGAAUCUUGCAAUUAGUUCAAUUGUUUUCCCUGUCACUUCUGAUUAUUCAUAUCACUGUAAUGUCCAUGACAAAAGAACUAGAUUAGAACUUAGAAACUAUGAUACAUUUUCAAACACAUCACCAUAAUCAAGUGUGGAACUCACAUACACUGUUAACAAUACCCAUACUCCUUAAGAGGCAUCAAGUGAAUAUACUGAAUAUGAUUAUUAUGCAUGUAACAGUGUAUCGUGAUUAAAAAUAUUUGAUUGUGUUUCAUUAUCACUCUUAUUAAAAUGCAUUGUGCUUUCCAUGGCUUAAAGCAUGACAUUUU
ensembl:lncRNA